GUAAGCACUGAAACGUUGACCGGAUUGUAAACUGAAUUAAUCUUUGGAUUAAAAUUUACCUGAUGAAAUUUACAAUCCGGUCAACGUUUCAGUUCUUAC